AAUUUAUUUAGUGCCGGUCCUGGAGGGUGAUGGGCGUUCGCCCAACCAGUCUACGUGUCUUUUGUGGACUUGUAGAAGGCGUUUGACCGUGUCCCUCAGGGAAUGCUGUGGUGGGGUACUCUGGGAGCACAGAG